GAAACUGGCUCUCAUGAGGACUACUGCCACAGGAAAGGAAGACCCAGAGUUACCUCUGCUGCAGAGAAAUUGCACUAAAUCAAAUCUAAUUUAAUUUGUGUUGUACUGGGCUGUAUUCACUACCCUCUGUUGCCGUACCAGGCAGUGAUGCAACCAGUCAGGAUGCUCUCGAUGGUGCAGCUGUCGAACCUGUUGAGGAUCUUAGGACAUAUGCCAAAUCUUUUCAGUCUCCUGAGGAGGAAUGAGUUGAUUUCCCACAGUUAAAGUCCCGAGAUAAGAGCUAUGAUGCUAGUAUGUGUAAACUCUUUAGAAUUGUAAUCUGUGGGAAAUUCCCUUCACAAUUCCACAAGUUUCUUUAAAAUAUAUAUAUAUAUUUAACCAGGCAAGUCAGUAAAGAACAAACCUUUAUUUACAAUGACGGCCUACCCCGGCCAAACCCAGACGAUACAGGGGCCAAUUGUGCACCACUCUAUGGGACUCCCAAUCACGACCGGAUGUGAUACAGCCUGCAUUUGAAACCAGGGAGUGUAGUAGACGCCUCUUGCACUGAGAUGCAGUGCCUUAGACCGCUGCAUCACUCUGUUGCCUUGUACAUUGCAAUAUGAAUUUUCAAUUGGCACCAUAGGCUGAGUUGUAAGAUGAUUUCCCAUAGUUAAAGCCCUGAUACGAUGCUAAUACUUAAACUCUUUAGAGUAGAAUUUUUCACGUUAUAAAAACAAUAAAAAGUAAUAUGAGUUUUAGGCAGUUAUUUUAAGCAGAAUACAGAAUACAAAAACACAAUUGGGCCAUUUUCCACGGUAACAGUGCGGGAAUUGGUCAAAAGCUGCUUUUGAUUGGACCCUUUUAUGCACUAAAAGUGCGGGGAUUGGUCAAAAUUGUGAGCUCUCGCAUAAUAUGCGCUGAUUGGUUGAUUUUGCAUUGAAUUUUGCGAUCUCGGAAACCUGGAGGGACUGAUUAUAUUGUCCAAUUGUGGCAUGAUUCCACAAUUUAUAUCCGUUUGCAUCCGUUUCAAUGGGCAACUUUUAUUUUGAACCCGAACAUCCGAUUCUACUAUUGUUGUAAAAUGUUGUUCAACACACACGCAAUAAGGAGAUAGGAGGGAGACUGUGUGAGAGGUGAAAAGCGAAGCAGGGAGGGAUGGUGAAUGAUUCACAGAGAGAGCAGAGGGCAGAUUCAUUACGGAAACAGUUUAACGUUUAAGAACUAAUUGGAAGAACACAGAGCAAAAUGAGAGUUUCUACUGGGAUAAACUCAAAAAAUAUAUUAAACGAGACGGCAAAAAGUAUGACGUACUGAACAGACUCUGCCCCUGGAAGGGAGAGGGCUAAUACUCGGUUCCAGGAACCGGAUGGCAUGUACGUGACACAUGGCACUGGUUCUGGGUCAGAAAACCAGAAAUGGUUUUUAAUUUGAGCUGAUCACUGUUUGUUUAGUAUCAGAAUAUGAAGGUGAACUUCGCUCUGUGUGAAGGAGGUGAACUUUGCUCUGUGUGAAGGUCAACUUUGCUCUGUGUGAAGGUCAACUUUGCUCUGUGUGAAGGUCAGGAACUUUGCUCUGUGUGAAGGAGAGGAACUUUGCUCUGUGUGAAGGAGGUGCACUUUGCUCUGUGUGAAGGAGGUGCACUUUGCUCUGUGUGAAGGAGGUGCACUUUGCUCUGUGUGAAGGAGGUGAACUUUGCUCUGUGUGAAGGAGGUGAACUUUGCUCUGUGUGAAGGAGGUGAACUUUGCUCUGUGUGAAGGAGGUGAACUUUGCUCUGUGUGAAGGAGGUGAACUUUGCUCUGUGUGAAGGAGGUGAACUUUGCUCUGUGUGAAGGAGGUGAACUUUGCUCUGUGUGAAGGAGGUGAACUUUGCUCUGUGUGAAGGAGGUGAACUUUGCUCUGUGUGAAGGAGGUGAACUUUGCUCUGUGUGAAGGAGGUGAACUUUGCUCUGUGUGAAGGAGGUGAACUUUGCUCUGUGUGAAGGAGGUGAACUUUGCUCUGUGUGAAGGAGGUGAACUUUGCUCUGUGUGAAGGAGGUGAACUUUGCUCUGUGUGAAGGAGGUGAACUUUGCUCUGUGUGAAGGAGGUGAACUUUGCUCUGUGUGAAGGAGGUGAACUUUGCUCUGUGUGAAGGAGGUGAACUUUGCUCUGUGUGAAGGAGGUGAACUUUGCUCUGUGUGAAGGAGGUGAACUUUGCUCUGUGUGAAGGAGGUGAACUUUGCUCUGUGUGAAGGAGGUGAACUUUGCUCUGCGUGAAGGAGGUGAACUUUGCUCUGCGUGAAGGAGGUGAACUUUGCUCUGUGUGAAGGAGGUGAACUUUGCUCUGUGUGAAGGAGGUGAACUAUGCUCUAUGUGAAGGAGGUAAACUUUGCUCUGUGUGAAGGAGGUGAACUUUGCUCUGUGUGAAGGAGGUAAACUUUGCUCUGUGUGAAGGAGGUGAACUUUGCUCCAUGUGAAGGAGGUGAACUUUGCGACCAGAGAUUCUCUGCACUGUGUUUAUAAAUGCAGAAAGUACAAGAGCUGGAAAAUGUGGACAGGGGAUUCAUAUUUUGUAAUGGGACCUGGGCUGUGUAUUUACAUCCAACGGCCACACAGGGGCGGUAUUCGGAUCUGAAAAGAAAUGUGUGUGGAUGACCAAGUCGUCACACUACAAUUAGGCCGAGCUGAAUGAAAUUAUAAAUACAACAUGUCUUGAUAAAUAACACAAAUCAAUCUAUAUAGAUUGUUCUCAUGUAUAUUUCUGUGUGUUUGUGUCUUAAGUUUUGUCUUAUGAAUGUUAAUAAAUACACAGACGACCUUG